GCAUAUCAAUAAGCGGAGGAAAAGAAACCAACAGGGAUUGCCUCAGUAACGGCGAGUGAAGCGGCAACAGCUCAAAUUUGAAAUCUGGUCCCCUCUGGGGGCCCGAGUUGUAAUUUGAAGAGGAUGCUUUUGGCGAGGCGCCUUCCGAGUGCCCUGGAACGGGACGCCACAGAGGGUGAGAGCCCCGUAUGGUAGGACGCCGAGCCUCUGUAAAGCUCCUUCGACGAGUCGAGUAGUUUGGGAAUGCUGCUCAAAAUGGGAGGUAAACCCCUUCUAAAGCUAAAUAUUGGCCAGAGACCGAUAGCGCACAAGUAGAGUGAUCGAAAGAUGAAAAGCACUUUGAAAAGAGAGUUAAACAGCACGUGAAAUUGUUGAAAGGGAAGCGCUUGCGACCAGACUUGCGCCCGUCGGAUCAACCGUCCCUCGUGGGCGGCGCACUCCGGCGGGCUCAGGCCAGCAUCAGUUUUCCUGGGGGGAGAAAGGCGGUGGGAAUGUAGCUCUUCGGAGUGUUAUAGCCCGCCGCGUAAUGCCCUCGGGGGGACUGAGGACCGCGCGUAUGCAAGGAUGCUGGCGUAAUGGUCGUCAGCGACCCGUCUUGAAACACGGACC
rnacentral:rRNA from 1 species